CAAUCUUCAAACCUUCAAAAUUAUAAUUACAUGACUAUGGCAUUUGGUUUAUUUAUAUCUUGAAGUCAUCAUGGCUGAAAGUAGGCAUAUAUACGAUUUUGGCUCAUUGAUUCAAGGCAGUAAAACCAGCGAGAUUUCUUCUGUAAGCUAGGAUUAUGAAGCAAAAGUCUCUGCUGCCAUUCCGACUAAAACAGACCUGUUUCGAAAAGGAAAGCUGGCAAGAGAUCUUAACGCAGAGUUGCUUAUCCCUAAGCAUAUGGGAGAUAAUUGGCGGGCUUUAAAGAGGGUUCAAAUCAGCUGAAGCACUGUACACAGAGACGUUUACUCACUGAACUAACGUUGGAUGAAAAUUACGCAAGAAAUGAACACUCUUUGUCUUCUAAAAUACUGCCAGGUAUUGCUUUUAAAUUAUUUCAUUCAAUGCAGAACUGAUUAUGGUCAUUGUACACAAAA